CCAUUCGUAUAUUCAGUUUAUGAUCAAUUGGAGAAUGUUUUUUCUUUAUUUUGUAACAGGUGCAUUAUUGGAAUUCAUGAAGUUCCGAAAGAUUCGGCUUUAGGCAGAUUGAAAGGAAGCGACAAUGCGCGCUUAACGGUUGAAUGACUUGGGUGAAGAAUCAACCAGACUUCAUCCCUUCCUCUCUCUCUGGAGGUAGCGCCCAACGGUUGAAUGACUUGGGUGAAGAAUCAACCAGACU